UAUCGGAUUCCGGCGUGGAAGAGAAAUUCUCCAAGCCAUGUCUCCGAAGUCACGAAGAGGCGACGGAUGGCCUGGAUUGCCGCUAUCAGAAGACCUAAUAUAACGUUCGAAAACACUCCACCUCACAUGUUAGUCUGCUCCAAGCAUUUCCACAACGGCAAACCAGCCUACGAAAUGCUGGAAUGCGAUCCAGACUGGGCACCCUCUCUCUCAAACUGGGCCACACAGAAGUUAAAGCUUCUACCACUGCUAGAUUUGAUCGGUUAAAACAGAGAUCGAAAUCAAAACAGCCACGAAAAGGCCCGCGUUCCUCUGGGGCAGAGACAGCUCAUGCAGGUGAAAUCCAUCCAGCACCAGUCACUACGGAAACUACAGCUGAGAGCCAACCACAGCAGAUAAAUCCAAAGCACCAGGAUGAAGAUCUGCAGGAGUGUAAAAUGUGUUCUCAAAGGUUACAAGAAAUAGCACACCUUCAAGAAGAAAACCUAGUGUAAAAAAAAGAACUGU